rnacentral:lncRNA from 1 species
UCGGUGAGGAUGAUCGAAGCUAGGGCUCAGAUGAGAUGAGAGUGAGAGAAAGAAAGGGAUGUGAUGCGAUCAUGCGAAGAUGUAGCCUUCGCGGUUUUGGGAUAUUUAUAUUGGGGAAAGGAAAUGCUAAUGCUAAAGGUAAUCUCCAUAUUCCCCAAAUAAAUAUUUUAGGGCUUUUAUGGGCCUAAUUGGGCUUUUUGUUGACAAUGGAGGGGGAGAAAUUAGAUCUUAAACAUAAUUCAAAUACUAUGAAGAGAAGUUUUGUUUACAUUUAUUGAUGUAUUGAAUAUCAAUGACUAACUUGUAUUUUCAUGGAAAAUAUAUCUAAAUAUUAUUUGCACAUUUAAUGCUUACCAAAUUUAAAGUUCAAAAUUUAAAAACUAUUUUUAUAGUUUGAAAUGUAGGGUAUGCGAGUUUAAAUUUGCAUUUAUCUUUCCAGAUUUUUCCACAACUCUUUUACCUUUUGUAUUAGUCCAAUUUCUAAAUCUAAAUUUUUGUUGCCUUUAUUCAAAGAUUGAUGGUAUCAAUUGCAUCGAUGAGAUAUAUAGUAUGAAAUGACAUAUUCGCAUCAUUAAAUGAUGAUAGUACUCAUUGUGAUGAGCGAUUAUAGAUGACUUUGAUUUAACUUUUUAAAUGUCUAAUUUCGAAAAUAAAUCAUUUGAGAAAAAAAACGAUUAAAACAUCUUGAAAAUGUAUCUUACAACAAUUUCUAAUCAAAAGAUUUUGAAUAAAAAUUAUUUUUCUCUAGUCAAUUCAAUUCAAACACACUCUAGGACAAUGUGUGUGAUGAAAGAAUUGUAUUCCCAAACUAUACCCUUUGUCUCCUUGAAUAGAAUGAAUUAUUGUGAGUUGAAGAUAGGUAGAAAAUUACAUGUAUAACUCAAAAUAUUAGAACAAAGAAACCAAACCAAAAGUUGGAAACAUCGCAAUAAUACUAAAUACUAAAUACUAGACAGCAAAAAGUCAGAUAGAUAAAACUGAAUAUAUUGAAAUGUUAAAAUGAAAUAGAGACAACAUGAUACAUUUAGCCAAAAACUAAAUAUUAAAUACAUAUUUUCCAUGGAAAAAUAUAAAAUGGAAAGUGAUUUGAUGAAUUAGGCUGACCUCUUGCAAAUGAAAUCAUAAGCAGCUUCCACAAGGCUCCUACGUGCAGUAUCAUCGUUGGAAGGCAACUUCAAGAGAGAUGCAACUUUUAAGAAAGCAGCAUGUUGAGUGGCAAAGGCAGAUUCUUGCAUUUCAGAA